GUUCUUCAUCGGCCCUUCCUUCUUCUCCUUUUGUUUUUUGUUUUCCGCUUCUAGAUUGAUUGAUUGAUUGAUUUUGUUGAUGGUGUCCUCAUUUUGCUUUCUUCUUUCUUGUCUGAUUUUGUGAAGCAUCAUCUGGUUGCGGAGAUCCUUGAGGGUUUCGCUUGGCCUACGAUUCCUACUGGUUAUCGGAAUUCUUUGGUUUACGCCUCAUCCUUUGAUUGCUUAGUGAUUCAUCGGGCGAUCGAUUGAACUUUGCGUUGCUGUUUUUGACCAGCUUAUUCUGGAUUCUCGUUGUUCGGUGAAUUGGUAGUGCAAUACUUUUCCACUUCUGAUACAGUGAUUGUCGGGGACAUUUUACAAAUGACCUUGUUUUGUAGGUGAUAUGGGUUGUUUUCAGUUUGUAGUGCUACCUUGAGGGCCUAAUUUCUGAAUAUGCUAGGUUCUCGGUACCUUUCAUAACUAGAAGGUCUCUUUCUUCUCGUGCUUCAUUCAUGAUUGGCAUAUGUGAUCAGGCCUCACAUGGGGACGUACACAGGACAGCCAUCUAGACAUAACUCCCUUGGCAUUGCUUGCACUCUGACCGGUUCUCUCCUUUCUGCUGAUUCUCUUGUUUCUUAUCCAUCACAAAGCUGUGUUGUGCCUUGUAUGCUGUCAGCAGACGUGGCUGGUCUGGCUGGGAGAAGCAGACACUUGGUGCUUGGAUGGCCUGUUUGUCAAAUUUUGUAGUUAUUUUUAGAUGGGUGAAACUGAAGGGUUAGAUGACAAUCCUGCAUAAGCCUUGGUUUGAGGUCUUAACAUAUCUGGUAAGCAUGGACCCCUCCUGAUCUCUUAUGAUACCUAAUGUACGAUGGGCGAACUUCUACUGCUUAUAAAUUUAUCGAUUUCCAAUUGCAGCGUGAUCAUUUGCCAAUGAUGAUCUUUUGACCAGGAAUUCUAAUUCAUGGUUCUACUGUAUCUCAUCGCCUCUAUGAAGUCAUCUUCCUUGUAAUUGGAGAUACUAAAUGAUUGCCUUAUGAUUGGUUUCAUUUGCUUUGGUGUUUGCUUUGAAGGCAUGAAUUUUGAAGCAUCUGGCUGGGUCUUUUUUAAGGACAAUGUUGGCGACAGCUCCGAUUUUAUACAGAAAGGUCUAUCCAAGCUAUUAAGGUUCGAACGCUGAUCGUAUCGACUAAUUUUGUGGCUUCCAUGCUAUACGGACUUGUUCAGUUGUUAGAGAAUCCAGUUUAGAGCGAUCCCACUAAGGACCGUGUGAGGAUGCAAAUUGAACAAAACUGUUAGAGAAUCCUAGUUCUUUAGUUGGGAAGGCAGGAGGUUAUUAAUUAAUGCAAUUACGUUUAGUUGAGAAACUGAAUUUUGUUUUUUUUUCCUGUGGAUUGGAGCGAUGAGCGAUGUCUGGAUCUUUCCAUAGGGAUCGUCUGUUUUUAUUUUUAUUUUUGGGGAGAUGCAAUGAACGUCUAGUUCUCUUCCUGUUGUAAAUUAUUUGUUUCUACUUUGAAUUGGUUUGGUGCA